rnacentral:rRNA from 1 species
UGCCAGCCGCCGCGGUAAUACGGAGGGGGUUAGCGUUGUUCGGAAUUACUGGGCGUAAAGCGUACGUAGGCGGAUUAAUAAGUUAGAGGUGAAAUCCCUAAGCUCAACUUAGGAACUGCCUUUGAUACUAUCUUACUAGAGAUCGAGAGAAGUUAGCGGAAUUCCAAGUGUAGAGGUGAAAUUCGUAGAUAUUUGGAAGAACACCAGUGGCGAAAGCGGCUAACUGGCUCGUAUCUGACGCUGAGACGCGAAAGCGUGGGUAGCAAACAGGAUUAGAUA